GUCCACGCAGUAAACGAUGAUCACUCGCUGUUUGCGAUAUACUGUAAGCGGCCAAGCGAAAGCGUUAAGUGAUCCACCUGGGGAGUACGCCGGCAACGGUGAAACUCAAAGGAAUUGACGGGGGCCCGCACAAGCGGAGGAACAUGUGGUUUAAUUCGAUGAUACGCGAGGAACCUUACCAGGGCUUGAAAUAUAUCUGACCGACUCAGAGAUGGGUUUUCUAGCAAUAGCAGAUAUGUAGGUGCUGCAUGGUUGUCGU
rnacentral:rRNA from 1 species